rnacentral:rRNA from 1 species
GUCACUCUGUGCUCGUGAUGCUGGCAAAAUGGUUUUCUUUACCCCGUCUUGAAACACGGACCAAGGAGUCUAACAUAUGUGCAAGUACAAAGGUGGCAAACCUGCGUGCAUAAUGAAAGUAACAGUGGUUGGAUCCCUUCGGGGUGCACAAUCCGCCGGCCACAAUCCUUCGGGAGAAAGGUCUGAGUGUGAGCAUACAUGUUGGGACCCGAAAGAUGGUGAACUAUGCCUGAGGAGGGUGAAGCCAGAGGAAACUCUGGUGGAGGCUCGUAGCGAUACUGACGUGCAAAUCGUUCGUCGAACUUGGGUAUAGGGGCGAAAGACUAAUCGAACCAUCUAGUAGCUGGUUCCCUCCGAAGUUUCCC